rnacentral:misc_RNA from 1 species
AAGUCGUAACAAGGUUUCCGUAGGUGAACCUGCGGAAGGAUCAUUACUGAGAGAGGGGCCUCGCGCUCCCGGGGGCUUCGGCCCCCAACUCUUCACCCUUGUGUACUUGUCUGUGUUGCUUUGGCGGGCCUUGAGGGGUCUCUCUUGCGCCGGCCCCCGGGUCGGUGGGCGCCCGUCAGAUGCGUUCCUAAAUCCUGUUAAUCAGUGUUGUCCGAGUAUCAAACAAAUGUAUAAAAACUUUCAACAACGGAUCUCUUGGUUCCA